AGCAUAUGGUAUUUAUCUUUCUCUUUCUGACUUAGUUCACUCAGUAUGAGAGUCUCUAGUUCCAUCCAUGUUGCUGCAAAUGACGUUAUGUCGUUCUUUUUUAUGGCUGAGUAGUAUUCCAUUGUGUGUAUUUACCACAUCUUCCUAAUCCAAUUGUCUGUCGAUGGACAUUUGGGUUAUUAGAGAAAUGCAAAUCAAAACUACCAUGAGAUACCACCUCACACCAGUCAGAAUGGUCAUCAUUAAUAAGUCCACAAAUAAGAGCUGGAGGGGUUGUGGAGAAAAGGGAACCCUCCUGCACUGUUGGUGGGAAAAAUAAGCUGAUACAGGCACUAUGGAGAACAGUGUGGAGAUACCUUAGAAAUCUAUACAUAGAACUACCAUAUGACCCAGCAAUCCCACUCUUGGGCUUAUAUCCAGACAAAACUUUCCUUAAAAAAGACACAUGCACCUGCAUGCUCAUUGCAGCACUAUUCACAAUAGCCAAGACAUGUUUGAUCUUUUUUAUCUCCGCACAUUGACCUCCAGGCUUCUGUUUGCUGGAGGCUAGGGUUUUAAAGGACUCUUUUGAGCCCUCUUCAAAUCCUUUAUAAAAGAAGAUGCAAGUGUCAUGUAAGUGGAUAAUACAAACCCGUAGCUUGGAAUUGCUACCAACUCAGUCUAGAAGACAAAACAGAAUACUUAUUGUGUCCACUCGGGGGCAAGUCCCCAACGAAGGCUCUGUCCCAUGGAGUUUAAGAGGCCACAGAACUUCAGCCAGAUUCUGAACUGGGAGCCUGCAGGGCUGCGGGUGUGUAGCAGCUGAGGUCUGGAGAGACGGCAGGUGAUACCUCGGUGUAGACAGAAUAGAGCUGAUCUGCUCAAUGGAAAGUCGCCUUUGGAAAGACCCUGCCCUGUUUGGACGGCAGGCCUCGGGACCAGGCUCAGCUGGUGGGGGUGUGGGAGGUGCCAGCUCCUGGAGCCCAGGGGACGUUGGCUGCCUGGCCUGCUUGGGUGAACGACGCACCUGUGGGUUCAACCAACAGCUGAGGUCGGACGCUCUGCAUCCUUCCAUCUGGAAGCUUCUGUAUCUGGCGCUGAAAGAGCCCGUCAUGAGGGGUGUCGACGGAACACUUACUCUCCUUGCAGUGUUUGGGGCACCACUCCAUGACCCCCUACUGACUCUGAGGUGUGACAGCCACACGGCUGGAUAGGGAAAGGCACGCCAGGCACGCAUGAGCCUGGUGUGAAAAGAAAAGUCAGGCAAAGUCCUGGGUGUGAGGAGGUGGGAAACGUCCUGCAGGGAAGGGAGUCUGAUCUGCUGAGCGGUGGGCAGGGGGCAGGCCCACAUCCCGGGCUUCUUCUAGGCCCUGCUGCUUGCAGAAUCCCACAGGCCUCUCCUACCUCCCGGGGGCCACUGGCAGCUGAGAGGAAGGGAACUGACAGCAGUCAGAGGCGACACCUUAUGUUUCCAGGCGUGAACAUCCGUGUGAAAAUUUUCAGCAAAUCACUUCCCAUCCCUGUGACGCUCCAAUCCGUCUCACCUUCACAUCUAAAGGCUGCCAGCCAUGCUCCCUGCAACCCUAGUGCAGGACCCAGAAACAUGUUACAGCUCUCCUUCCAGAAGCUUCUCCUGGGGUCAUGGAUUCCAAUAUCCGUCUGGCUCCAGACAUCCUUCUGGGGAUAUCUGUCUGAGCUGGGAUUGGCCCUGGCAGCUCUGCCAGCCAUAGUCUGUUUCUAGAUCCUUCCACCACAGCUUCAGGAUGUGAGGAGGGGACAAAGUUCCUCUCCUCCUCUUUACGCUGCUCCCACAUCCACCUGGAAACGUAAAUGAGACGCUUAAAACAGAAGCAGGAUGGUUUCUGCAGGAUUUAAACCAGAGACACAAGUACAUGAAAUAGCUCAUCCCCACGUGCAGUGAAAUAACACAGUAUUUAUCUGCUUGAGGGGGCCAGGAGGCAGAACUCCUUUGUAUUUACAUAAAAGCACUUUUAAAAAUUGUUUUCUUAUUAGAAAAAUGAGAUAAAAUAUUUCAGAUUUUGAAAAGCAUAAAAAUUGGUAAACAGGACAUAGAGAAUUGCCUCAACACUUUUCUUUGUAUAACUGCUAUCACUUUUUGAAUAUGUUUAUUUCUAUGUAUGGAUAGGUUAGCAAAAAUUAUAAUCAUGGCCUCACAUUCAAUAUGUAAUUUUUUUUUUGUCUUUUUUCUUUUUAGGGCCACGCCCACAGCAUAUGGAAGUUCCCAGGUUAAGGGUCAAAUCAGAGCUGCAGCUGCUCUGACAAUUAUUUUUCUCUUUUCCACAUGUAGAGUUUUAAACUUUUGUCCCGAGAGCUCCCCAUGUCAUCGCGUUGUUCAUAGAGAUAAGAUGCAUAAGAAUUAGUUACUUCUUUCUCCUGACGAAUUUGUUCAUCCGUUAGAUUUCUCCACACCUUUUGCUGUGACAAAAUUUGCUUCCAGGGAGAACCUUUAAACUUUGGCCUCAUUGCUGAUGGCUUUCCUUAGAAUAAAGUCUUUGAAUAAGAAUUAGGAAGCUACAGGACAGAGACCUCUGAUCAGCUUGAGAUAUAUUCUAAGCUCCCUUCACAAAAUACUAUCGACAUUGAGCACAGGCAUUUUAUUGUCAUGUUAGCCGAUUUAAGAUGCUCUCAUUAAGUUAGGAUAUUUUUGACAUUUCAGGUAGUUAAAUCUUCCCAUUCCUUUUCCCCUUUGACCGUUGUCAUAUACAGAAAGCCCUCCUCCAACGUAGGAACAUCUAGAUUUUCCCAUAUUUUUCUAAAUUGUAAAAAAAUAAUAAUUAAAAUUUUCCAUUUAGUUUCUCAAUCCAGGUGGAAUUGACUUUAGUAGGUCACAUAAUGUGAGAUGGUUUUGUUUUCUUUUCCCCAAAUAGCUAAGAGUUCAGCACCAGCCUUUGAAUAUUGUAUUCGGUGAUAAGCAGUGUUUCCCAGGCACACACUCAGUCCAGGGCACCCAUCUCUAGUCCAUUGGCCUGUCAUUGAUUUGCCCCAUUGCUGCCUGGUUUGACCUUUCGUAGCUCAUAGCAUCGCAGCUAAGCAGGUGGGUACUAAAAAAUGUGCAUGCAAAUUACAUGUAAAAACCUGACAUUGAUUGUGUGACUUUGUGAAGAGGCACUAACACCAGGUCGGCCUCCGCUGAAAGGAAGAACUGUGGUCCCUUCUGCACAAGGUUGUGGGAGGAAGGGAACUGUGACCGUUCAGUAAGGACAGGGCAUGGUGUCCCCAGGGGUUAAUUACAGGGGCUAGUUACAGAGGUUAGUUACAGGAGCUAGUUACAGGGGCUAGUUACACUAGUUACAGAGGUUAUUUACAGGGCUAUUUACAGGGGCUGGUUACAUGAAUUAGUAUCAGGAGUUAUUUACAUGGGUUAUUUACAGAGGUUAGUUACAUACCUUAGAGUUACAAGAGUUAUUUACAGGGGUUAGUCACAAGUUGUAGCUACUGUUACAAUCUCUGCUCCCGUCUAGCAGAAGCCUUGGGGUGGUCCUCUUCCUCUGCUUUUGUAAACAUCCUGGCUAUUUUUCCUGGUUAUCUUUCCAGACAAAUCUGUUUGACCUACUCAAAAGAAGUGCCACCAAGAUUUCGAUGAAGGGUAUGAAGCUGAUGCAGUCAUCUGGGAAAACUGACAUCAUACCAGGUCAGUACCACAUGUUUCCAUUUUGAAGACUGUUAUGUAUGAUCUUCGGGUAAAUCUGGUGAUGCUCGUGGGAUGCUUUUGCAGAUUUCUUAUUUUUAAUCUUUCUUUUUCUUUUUGCUCAUCUGAUAUAUCUUUUCUCAUGCUUUCCAAUAAUGUAUGGCUUGUGCUUGGAAAGCUGUAAUGUUGGUGUAUUUGUUAUAUAUUUAACAACAUUGACUGAUUUGCGUAUUUGUUCUAAAAUUUUAGCUGGUUUCUAAGGCUUUCUAAAAAUUGGGUGAUGUCAUCUUCAAAUAAUGAGCAGUUCUUUCUCCCCAUCUAUGUCCCUCCUCUGUGUUAUCAUCCAGGGGGAGUCAGCUACAACACCCAGACACACCAGAUACGUCAUGUGGGGCGUCAUCUGGGUGUGAAGUGUCCCAUAGCCCUUCUUCACCUUCUGUCUCUGCCACCUGCUGUGUAACCGUCCCUCUUUGCCCCCAUUUCUUCAUCAGUUCAAGGCAAAUAGUAAUUACCUGGGAGGUAACACUUUGUGACGUGGCUGAUUAAUCAUCAUCUAAUUCACUGCUGCCUCUGUCUACACCUGCUCUCCUUCCUUCUCACCUGCGCCCACUGGACAUCUUCCUUCCACCCAGACUUCUCUCUGUCUUUUUUUUACAGCUGGUUCCUCAGGUGGCUUUUAUUCCUGGAGCCAGUUCUACCAUUUCUCAGAAACUGCUCACUUUUGCCCUCUCUCAACCAAGGACAGGUGUUGUCUGUCACACAGUUGAGCAGGGAACCUGCCUGAGACUCCGUUGGAGGUCGGGGGUUGAGGGGAAGAUUGAAAUCCCUCUGUGGUCUGAGAGAUUCAGAAUGGUGGCAUCUUGUAAAGAUCUUCAGUCCAGGAAAUUCUGGGAAAACAUGAUCUGGAUUUGGACCCAUUGAUUUUAGGGAACCUUAAAUAUAAGCUCUGAUGAAUUAGCAGAAGAUUUUCAGUCAUAAUACUCCCACAUAGGAAUAUUCCAGAUCCUGACCGAAGGCUGGGAUUCUUGCAUUAGUCACAAAUGUUUCCUUUUUGCCUCGUUUUGCUUAUUUCUCUCUGGAAACAAGACAAGUCGGAAUUUCUUUGAGCAUCUUGGCUUUGGUCUGUGGCCACAUCUGGCCAUCUUCAUGGUUUAUCUUUGCAAUUCUCAACUCACGGGAAGCCAGAGAUAUGUAACAAUCCACGGCAAGAUUAAUCCAACCCUGAUCUCAUUUCCCUUCAAUUCAGCAAUUCGUUGAUGGUGUGUCCAGCCAUCAAUCAAGAAUAUGAGAAAGAGGGAUGACAGGAAGUUGGAUGAAGUUGAGAGAUAGAUAUAAUAAUAUUCUUAUUACCAGGUUUUCUAUUUGAGCCUAAAACUACCUUCUUAGAUAAAAAGGCUCAAAAGUUACAGUAAUUCCCCCCAAUGACCUGCUUUCAACCUGGCGUUGAGUGGCAGGUGCUGAGACUGGGAAGCAGAAGGACCUGGACCCAGAGGCCUCGGAGCCAAGCAAUCCCAAACGUAGCUUGCAGCCCCCGUGAAAAAUUCAUGGAACCGGGUGUUCCUGCUCCCCCCCCACCACCACCCCUGCCAUCUACCAGCUAUGUGCCCCCAGGCAGUUUGCUUACUUUCUCUGUGCCUCAGUUUCCACAUCUUUAAAAUGGGGGUGCUAAUAGAAUGCCAGUGGUUGUUACAAGAUGAGUUACUGUGUAUAAAAUGCUGAGGACAGGGAGUUCCCUUUGUGGUGCAGUGGUUAACGAAUCCGACUAGGAACCAUGAGGUUGAGGGUUCCUGGCCUUGCUCAGUGGGUUAAGGAUCCCACGUUGCCGUGAGCUGGGGUGUAGGCCGGAAGGUAUAGCUCCAACUAGACCCCUGGCCUGGGAACCUCCAUAUGCCGCAGGAAGCAGCCCUAGAAAAGGCAGAAAGCCCAAAAAAAAAAAAAAAAAAAA
rnacentral:lncRNA from 1 species